rnacentral:rRNA from 1 species
UUUUAGUNNGGCAUCUUCGGAAAAACANAAAAAAAUAAAAAAUUUCUUNACAGAUCUCUUGGUUCNGGCAUCGAUGAAGAACGCAGCAAAAUGCGAUAAGUAAUGUGAAUUGCAGAAUUCAGUGAAUCAUCGAAUCUUUGAACGCACAUUGCGCCCGCCAGUAUUCUGGCGGGCAUGCCUGUUCGAGCGUCAUUUCAACCCUCAAGCACAGCUUGGUGUUGGGACUCGCGUUAAUUCGCGUUCCUCAAAUUGAUUGGCGGUCACGUCGAGCUUCCAUAGCGUAGUAGUAAAACCCUCGUUACUGGUAAUCGUCGCGGCCACGCCGUUAAACCCCAACUUCUGAAUGUUGACCUCGGAUCAGGUAGGAAUACCCGCUGAACUUAAGCAUAUCAAUAAGCGGAGGAA